rnacentral:rRNA from 1 species
UGGGGAAUAUUGCACAAUGGGCGCAAGCCUGAUGCAGCCAUGCCGCGUGAGUGACGAAGGCUCUAGGGUUGUAAAACUCUUUCGCCGGUGAAGAUAAUGACGGUAACCGGAGAAGAAGCCCCGGCUAACUCCGUGCCAGCAGCCGCGGUAAUACGGAGGGGGCUAGCGUUGUUCGGAAUCACUGGGCGUAAAGCGCGCGUAGGCGGGUGACCCAGUUGGGGGUGAAAUCCUGAGGCUCAACCUCAGAACAGCCCUCAAAACUAGUCAUCUUGAGUCCGAGAGAGGUGAGUGGAAUUUCCAGUGUAGAGGUGGAAUUCGUAGAUAUUGGAAAGAACACCAGUGGCGAAGGCGGCUCACUGGCUCGGCACUGACGCUGAGGUGCGAAAGCGUGGGGAGCGAACAGG